rnacentral:tRNA from 1 species
GAGGGUGCAGCUCAGUAGAAGAGUGCCUGUUUAGCAUGCAUAAGGUCCUGGGUUCAAUCCCCAGUACUUCCA